GAUGAACGCUGGCGGCGUGCAUAACACAUUCAAGUCGAACGGACUUACCGAGAAAGCUUGCUUUCUUUGUAAGUUAGUGGCGGACGGGUGAGUAACGCGUGAGCAACCUGCCUAUGUGAGGGGAAUAACACAGGGAAACUUGUGCUAAUACCGCAUAAAACAUGAGGUUCGCAUGUACUUCAUGUCAAAGAUUUAUCGCACAUAGAUGGGCUCGCGUCCGAGUAGAUAGUUGGUGGGGUAACGGCCUACCAAGUCGACGAUCGGUAGCCGGACUGAGAGGAUGAGCGGCCACAUUGGCACUGAGAAACCGUCCAGACUCCUACGGGAGGCAGCAGUGGGGAAUAUUGGGCAAUGGGCGCAAGCCUGACCCAGCGACGCCGCGUGAGGGAAGAAGGUCUUCGGAUUGUAAACCUCUGUAAGCAGGGAAGAAACGAAUGACGGUACCUGCAAAGUAAGCCACGGCUAACUACGUGCCAGCCGCCGCCGUAAGAC
rnacentral:rRNA from 1 species